rnacentral:misc_RNA from 1 species
GGAAAAGCACGUCCAGGUCUAGAUCGAAUACUUCUCUUCGAAUUGGCCCGGAAAAUUUGUUGAACCUGAUAUCCAAGAAGGUUAACUGUCUGGCAGCAAGAACUGAAGUGGGGAAGCCACCAUGGUAGUUGUUGUUGCUUAGAUCGAGCUCGUAAAAGUAUUUGAUAUUUUCAACUCCUAUAUCAUCUGGCACAGACCCUUUGAAUUUGUUGGAGUUUGCGUGGAAGAUAGCCAAGUCCACCAAUUUAUCAAGUAGACCUUUAGUCUGAAGGUCAGGACCAGAAAAAUUGUAACCAUUGAAGUCUGCUGCUGCUACAGAUAGCCGUUUAAAGUCAGGCCUAUAAUCACAUGCAAAGCCUUCAUAUUUACAGACAUUUCUGUCCGCCCUGUUCCAUGUUCUUGUUAUGCCCAUGGGAUCGCCUUUAAUUUUUUUACUGAAUUCCUUAAUUGUGUUAUAAUCCCUUAUGAUAUUUGCUGGUAAUUGAUUCGAGGGUGUUGGUGGUGGGCGUGGGCGUGGGCGUGGGCGUGGGCUUGGUUUUCGGGGUGGGCGUUGGGGUGGGUUUUUUUUUGGGGUUGGUGGUGGUGGGGGUGGGCUUUUUUUUGGGGUUGGUGGUGGUGGGGGUGGGC